GAUGAACGCUGGCGGCGUGCCUAAUACAUGCAAGUCGAGCGAACGGACGAGAAGCUUGCUUCUCUGAUGUUAGCGGCGGACGGGUGAGUAACACGUGGAUAACCUACCUAUAAGACUGGGAUAACUUCGGGAAACCGUAGCUAAUACCGGAUAAUAUUUUGAACCGCAUGGUUUAAAAGUGAAAGACGGUCUUGCUGUUACUUAUAGAUGGAUCCGCGCUGCAUUAGCUAGUUGGUAAGGUAACGGCUUACCAAGGCAACGAUGCAUAGCCGACCUGAGAGGGUGAUCGGCCACACUGGAACUGAAACACGGUCCAGACUCCUACGGGAGGCAGCAGUAGGGAAUCUUCCGCAAUGGGCGAAAGCCUGACGGAGCAACGCCGCGUGAGUGAUGAAGGUCUUCGGAUCGUAAAACUCUGUUAUUAGGGAAGAACAUAUGUGUAAGUAACUGUGCACAUCUUGACGGUACCUAAUCAGAAAGCCACGGCUAACUACGUG
rnacentral:rRNA from 1 species